rnacentral:rRNA from 1 species
ACCGGCAGCUCAAGUGGUGGCCAUUAUUAUUGGGCCUAAAGCGUUCGUAGCCGGUUUGAUAAGUCUCUGGUGAAAUCCCGCAGCUUAACUGUGGGACUUGCUGGAUAAACUAUCAGACUUGAGGUCGGGAGAGGUUAGGGGUACUCCCAGGGUAGGGGUGAAAUGCGAAGAUAUCUGGAGGACCACCUGUGGCGAAGGCGGCUAACUGGAACGAACCUGACGGUGAGUAACGAAAGCCAGGGGAGCGAACCG